rnacentral:rRNA from 1 species
UACGUAGGGGGCAAGCGUUGUCCGGAAUCAUUGGGCGUAAAGAGCGUGUAGGCGGACUUAAAGGUCUGGUGUGAAAGCCCGGGGCUCAACCCCGGAGGGUCACUGGAAACCAUAAGUCUUGAAUCUGGAAGAGGAGAGUGGAAUUCCUGGUGUAGCGGUGGAAUGCGCAGAUAUCAGGAGGAACACCCGUGGCGAAAGCGGCUCUCUGGGACGGUACUGACGCUGAGACGCGAAAGCGUGGGGAGCAAACAGG